rnacentral:rRNA from 1 species
AGCGAACGCUGGCGGCAGGCCUAACACAUGCAAGUCGAACGAACUCUUCGGAGUUAGUGGCGGACGGGUGAGUAACACGUGGGAACGUGCCUUUUGGUUCGGAAUAACUCAGGGAAACUUGUGCUAAUACCGAAUGUGCCCUUCGGGGGAAAGAUUUAUCGCCAUUAGAGCGGCCCGCGUCUGAUUAGCUAGUUGGUGAGGUAACGGCUCACCAAGGCGACGAUCAGUAGCUGGUCUGAGAGGAUGACCAGCCACACUGGGACUGAGACACGGACCAGACUCCUACGGGAGGCAGCAGUGGGGAAUCUUGCGCAAUGGGCGAAAGCCUGACGCAGCCAUGCCGCGUGAAUGAUGAAGGUCUUAGGAUUGUAAAAUUCUUUCACCGGGGACGAUAAUGACGGUACCCGGAGAAGAAGCCCCGGCUAACUUCGUG